rnacentral:rRNA from 1 species
GACAGAGGUGCCAAGCGUUAGGCGGAAUCACUGGGCUUAAAGCGUGUGUAGGCGGGUGCCUAAGUACCUUGUGAAAUCCCACGGCUCAACCGUGGAACUGCUGGGUAUACUGGGUGCCUUGGGUCAUCUAGGGGCUGCCGGAACAAAUGGUGGAGCGGUGAAAUGCGUAGAUAUCAUUUGGAACGCCAAAGGUGAAAACAGACAGCUGGGGAUGUGCUGACGCUGAGACACGAAAGCCAGGGGAGCGAACGGG